rnacentral:rRNA from 1 species
UCACCGGGAGGUGGUGACAAGAAAUAACAAUACGGGGCUUAAUGUCUUGUAAUUGGAAUGAUGGGAAUUUAAACCUCUUCCAGAGUAUCAAUUGGAGGGCAAGUCUGGUGCCAGCAGCCGCGGUAAUUCCAGCUCCAAUAGCGUAUAUUAAAAUAGUUGCAGUUAAAAAGCUCGUAGUUGAAUUUUUGCUGCAUCGCAUCUUCUUUUUGAUGAGUUGGUGUCUUGUGGCUUAUUUCGGAUGAUACUUGUAUUAUCCGGAUGAUUACUUUGAGAAAAUUAGAGUGCUCAAAGCAGGCUUUUGCCUUGAAUAGUUUAGCAUGGAAUAAUAAAGUAGGACUUUGGUUCUAUUUUGUUGGUUUUAGGUACCAAAGUAAUGGUUAAUAGGAACAGUGGGGCAUUAUG